GGCUCGGUAGCUUAGUUGGUAAAGCGCUCGUUUAGCAUACAAGAGUCCUGGAUUCAAAUCCUAACCGAGCAC
rnacentral:tRNA from 1 species